AGGACGAACGCUGGCGGCGUGCCUAACACAUGCAAGUCGAACGAGGUCCAACCGGUAGCAAUACUGGUGAAGAUCAAGUGGCGAACGGGUGAGUAGCACGUGAGCAACCUGCCCCGAAGACCGGGACAACACCGGGAAACCGGUGCUAAUACCGGAUACCCCCACCGAAUCGCAUGGUUUGGUGAGGAAAUGGAUUCCGCUUCGGGAGGGGCUCGCGGCCUAUCAGCUUGUUGGUGAGGUAACGGCUCACCAAGGCUUCGACGGGUAGCUGGUCUGAGAGGACGAUCAGCCACACUGGGACUGAGACACGGCCCAGACUCCUACGGGAGGCAGCAGUGGGGAAUCUUGCACAAUGGGCGAAAGCCUGAUGCAGCAACGCCGCGUGAGGGACGAAGGCUUUCUGAGUUGUAAACCUCUUUCAGCAGGGACGAUUGUGACGGUACCUGCAGAAGAAGCCCCGGCAACUACGUGCCAGCAGCCGC
rnacentral:rRNA from 1 species